UUUAAUGCUACCAAAAUGCUUGUAUACAAGUCAAUUUCUCUUAAAUUAUAAGAGAAUUCUAAAUUGCACUUUUUUUCCCUGUCAGCACAACCAAAGAGAUUUGGAGAGAGCAACAGAGUUGUUGUCUAAAUACUUGGAAAGAGAUGUAACAAAAGAAAAUGUCUUAGACAUUGUGCAAAAAGUUCGAGACAAACACGAAUACUGUGAAAGGCGACGUAAAGUGUUGUUGGAUCAUGUUCAUGAAGGAUAUCAAGAAGGAUGGUGGGAAUGUACUGCUCCACCCUCAGAACAUCCUGAGCCUUCAACUCUGAGAAAAAUUUUAAAUACGUUUAAUUUGGGAAAUUAUUUAACCUGGCUUUGGGAUUACCUGUAGCAGAAAUUGCCAAACUUAAUCAGAAAUUAAAUAUUUUUUAUAGCCCAACCUUGAACACUGCCUGCUGAAAAUUAUUUGUCCGUCCAUGUAACUGUAAAAACUGUCCAAAUAAGUUAUGUUCAGCUAAAAAUAUACUUCUGUGAUUAAAAAAAGGCAAAACUGUUUGCAGUGUGAUUAAGUUUAUUAUUCAACAUUGCCUGUAACUUCUCCUAAGUGCAUGUGUGUUUCAAUGUGAAGACUACCUCAUGUGUUACUUGUGAAAAAGUCUUUCACCUACGCAUAAAAAAAAUAAGUUAUUUUCAUCAACACUGUCAUAGUCUUAUUUUGCCUUUCUGUGUAAGAGCUAUUAUGUAAGGGAAAAAAAUUUUGUUUCCUCUCUCUCAAAAAAAAGUAUUAAUAUUUUUUGUGAGAUCACUAACACUGACAUAUAAUUUUUUUUUUUUUUGUAUUUGUGUGUAAAUAUUUAAAAUGUGAUAGAGAUAACUGUUCCAUGCAUCAUCUGUAAACUAUUUUAUUACUUUUGUGAAAAAGAAAAAAAUAUACCUGAAGUUAUACAAUACAUGAAGGUCAUUCAACAUUGUUGCAGAUAAUAUUUUUUUUACAUGUUUAUAACUUUGUAAAUUAUCUCGUGUAUUACAAAAAAAAUCCAUCAAUGUGGAAAAAUAAUUUCAGUUUAAUUAUUAUCAAUACAGUGCCUGAGAUGAUUGUCUUAUAUCCGCGUAGAAGUGUCUUCUGCUAUCCGUGUGGAAUGUGAAAAUUGUCCAUUUAUAUUAUAUUAAAUAUUUUUAUCAUAUAUAUAUUACAUCUAUUAUGUAUUAUUAUCUAUAUAUAUUAUACUUAAUAUAUUAUAUUU
rnacentral:misc_RNA from 1 species